rnacentral:rRNA from 1 species
GACGUAGGGCGCGAGCGUUGUCCGGAUUUAUUGGGCGUAAAGAGCUCGUAGGCGGUCUGUCGCGUCGGCUGUGAAAUCCCGAGGCUCAACCUCGGGUCUGCAGUCGAUACGGGCAAACUAGAGUAUUGCAGGGGAGACUGGAAUUCCUGGUGUAGCGGUGAAAUGCACAGAUAUCAGGAGGAACACCGGUGGCGAAGGCGGGUCUCUGGGCAAUAACUGACGCUGAGGAGCGAAAGCGUGGGGAGCGAACAGG